CAGUCGCCACGGGAAUACGGAGGGUGCAAGCGUUAAUCGGAAUUACUGGGCGUAAAGCGCACGCAGGCGGUCUGACAAGUCAGAUGUGAAAUCCCCGGGCUUAACCUGGGAACUGCAUUUGAAACUGUCAGGCUGGAGUCUUGUAGAGGGGGGUGGAAUUCCAGGUGUAGCGGUGAAAUGCGUAGAGAUCUGGAGGAAUACCGGUGGCGAAGGCGGCCCCCUGGACAAAGACUGACGCUCAGGUGCGAAAGCGUGGGGAGCAAACAGGAUUAGAUACCCCGGUAGUCCCUGUCCUUAUACA
rnacentral:rRNA from 1 species